AUUGAACGCUGGCGGCAUGCUUUACACAUGCAAGUCGAACGGCAGCGCGGGCUUCGUCCUGGCGGCGAGUGGCGAACGGGUGAGUAAUGCAUCGGAACGUGCCCAGUAGUGGGGGAUAGCCCGGCGAAAGCCGGAUUAAUACCGCAUACGACCUGAGGGUGAAAGCGGGGGACCGAAAGGCCUCGCGCUAUUUGAUCGGCCGUUGUCGGAUUAGCUAGUUGGUGGGGUAAAGGCUUACCAAGGCGACGAUCCGUAGCUGGUCUGAGAGGACGACCAGCCACACUGGGACUGAGACACGGCCCAGACUCCUAUGGGAGGCAGCAGUGGGGAAUUUUGGACAAUGGGGGCAAGCCUGAUCCAGCCAUGCCGCGUGCGGGAAGAAGGCCUUCGGGUUGUAAACCGCUUUUGUUCGGGAAGAAAUCCUCUGGGCUAAUACCCCGGGGGGAUGACGGUACCGGAAGAAUAAGCACCGGCUAACUACGUG
rnacentral:rRNA from 1 species